GCUGAGAGUUAUGGUUAAAGUGCUACAGGAGCCGUAGUUCACAGGACUCUGCGGUUAGUCCUUCAACAUCAGGACAAUAUAGUACAACUCUUUCAAGAUUGAAGCAAAAAAUGAGUGGUUUUUGGUUGCAUGUGGUUCAGCGAUGGCCUGUGAUAGAAGCGCUUCUUGCUUUCGAUCACUUGCUUUCUCUGUAAGCACUAUCAUCUUUUAUCUUUUAUUUCAUACAUUCAAAACUUAAUGUAUUCCCUCUUAAUCACACUUAAUUUUAUGCCAAGUUUUGAUUUGUUAUAUGUUAUUCGUUAUUAGUAAUAACUAAUGAAGUUUUGAGAGAUUUUUGUUCA